rnacentral:lncRNA from 1 species
AUGUGCAGGAAAUCAAGAAGUAAAGAAGACUACUAGAAUGGAUCAUGAUGUACAAGGAAAUAAAUCAAUCAGCAUGUGAUCUACAAAUCUAGAUUGGUCUCGUAAAUAUGGGCACAAUCUAAUCAACGAAUCAAUUAGCAAUAACAAUGAUUAGCUGAGCUAGAAAAGCAAAUAAGCCUUAGAAAAAGGCACGAAUCAUGGGCAGAAUCACGGAGUAAUGAAGGAUACAAGGAAUCUGGGAAACGACUACAUUUGGAAGAACCAACAAUCCAGGAGAAAUCAAGUGAAGCAAUCCUCUGAUGAAGGAAAGCAAUCUAGAGAAGCAACAACUCAUUCCUUAUUCUUGGAAAGAAUCAAUUCUUUCCAAAUAUCAAAUCUCUUGGUUUGUCAAGCCUCUACC